UAGGGGACAUGCCUGGACAUGUGAAAGUAGGUCUGAUCUGAAACUGUUCUGGGUGUGUCGCCUUAUGGGCUAGAUUACCAAUGAGGCAGAUGGGACCACAGCCCCAGGCACCCCACAUAAUAAUAGACCCAUCAUAAUGACAUUGACCAGAUGCCCAGCUGACCACACAGCCAGCAUAUAUAUAAGAGUAUAUGAUGUCAUACUUGGAGGUUCCACAGAUGGGUCUGCUGGUUACGGGGAAGGGGGUGGAUGCUCCCACCUGGGACACUUGCAAGAUCACCUCGCCAAGUCCCAAGCAAGAAGUGCUGGUGAAAGUCUGGACGGUCCAAGGCAAUAUCUCCAUAGAGGCUAGGAGGACCUGUCACGAUACAUUAACAUUGUCGGACUCCGCAGGGAGGUUGGUCAGUGAUUGGUCUGGUUUUUCGACAAUUAAAAUGCUGAUUUAGUGUACUGCACAAACACUAUGUAAAUGGUUUUCUCCAACUAAAUAAUUGUUUGACUGCUGCUUAAUUAUGGCUAUACAGUUGCAAAUUAAUGUCUUAAUAUCUCUUUCAAAGAGCUA